GGCAGUAUGGCUCAAGUGGUAGAUUGCCUGCCUCACAGAGGUGAGGCCCUGAGUUCAAACCUCAGUACUGCCA
rnacentral:tRNA from 1 species